GCGUUUAUGGCGAAGCUGGUUAACGCACACGAUUGUGAAUCGUGCACUCUUCGGUUCAAGUCCGAAUAGACGCCCCA
rnacentral:tRNA from 1 species